rnacentral:rRNA from 1 species
AAGUCGAGGGGCAGCAUUUUAGUUUGCUUGCAAACUGAAGAUGGCGACCGGCGCACGGGUGAGUAACACGUAUCCAACCUGCCGACAACACUGGGAUAGCCUUUCGAAAGAAAGAUUAAUACCGGAUGGCAUACGAAUAUCGCAUGGGAUAAUUAUUAAAGAAUUUCGGUUGUCGAUGGGGAUGCGUUCCAUUAGGCAGUUGGCGGGGUAACGGCCCACCAAACCUACGAUGGAUAGGGGUUCUGAGAGGAAGGUCCCCACAUUGGAACUGAGACACGGUCCAAACUCC